rnacentral:rRNA from 1 species
UACAGAGACUGCAAGCGUUAUUCGGAUUCACUGGGCGUAAAGAGUGCGCAGGCGGUUGGGUGUGUCAGAUGUGAAAUCCCGAGGCUCAACCUCGGAACUGCGUCUGAAACUACUCGACUAGAGUACUGGAGAGGGUAACGGAAUUCACGGUGUAGCAGUGAAAUGCGUAGAUAUCGUGAGGAACACCAGAGGCGAAGGCGGUUACCUGGACAGUUACUGACGCUCAGGCACGAAAGCAUGGGGAGCAAAAGGG